CAAUAGCGUAUAUUAAAGUUGUUGCAGUUAAAAAGCUCGUAGUUGGAUUUCGGGACGGGCCAGUUGGUCCGCCGCAAGGUGUGUUACUGACUGGUCUGUUCUUCUUCGCAAAGACUGCGUGUGCUCUUCGUUGAGUGUGCGUAGGAUUUACGACGUUUACUUUGAAAAAAUUAGAGUGUUCAAAGCAGGCUAUCGCUUGAAUACAUGAGCAUGGAAUAAUGGAAUAGGACUUUGGUCCUAUUUUGUUGGUUUCUAGGACCGAAGUAAUGAUUAAGAGGGACAAUUGGGGGCAUCCGUAUUUCGUUGUCAGAGGUGAAAUUCUUGGAUUUACGAAAGACGAACUACUGCGAAAGCAUUUGCCAAGAAUGUUUUCAUUAA
rnacentral:rRNA from 1 species